rnacentral:rRNA from 1 species
UACGGAGGAUCCAAGCGUUAUCCGGAAUCAUUGGGUUUAAAGGGUCCGUAGGCGGCCUUAUAAGUCAGUGGUGAAAGCCCAUCGCUCAACGAUGGAACUGCCAUUGAUACUGUAGGGCUUGAAUUAUUGUGAAGUAACUAGAAUAUGUAGUGUAGCGGUGAAAUGCUUAGAUAUUACAUGGAAUACCAAUUGCGAAGGCAGGUUACUAACAAUGGAUUGACGCUGAUGGACGAAAGCGUGGGGAGCGAACAGG